rnacentral:ncRNA from 1 species
AAAAAGUUUAAUUUUGGCUUAAAGCUUUAUUUAAUAUUUUAUUUACAUGUAAAUUUUAGUGGGGAUAUAAAUUUAAUUUUAAUAGUUAAGUUUAAGGAUUUUAUUCGCAGUAUAAAAUUUUAUAUUUUUAAGAAAUUAAGAUAUAUAGAUAUAUUUUAGUAUUAACAAAAUUUGUGCCAGCAGUUGCGGUUAUACAAAAAAUACGAAUAAAAUUUAUUGAAAAUUAGUUAAUUGAAUUAUUUUAAUUAAAGUUAGAUUUAUGAGGUGAAAUUUAAAAUUUAAUAAUUUUAUUGGGAGUGAUUAUGAGACUAUGAGAUUUAAAUAAUAAACUAGGAUUAGAUACCCUAUUAUUUUAAAUGUAAAUUUAUUGUUCAAAGAAGUAUUAGUUAUGAUCUUGAAAUUUAAAAAUUUUGGCGGUAUUUUAGUCUAUUCAGAGGAAUCUGUUCUAUAAUCGAUAGUCCACGAUAUAAUAUACUUAAUUUAAAAAUUUGUAUAUCGUUGUUAUUAAAUAUCUUAUAAGAGUAAAUGUUUAAGAAUUUUUUUAAAAAAGAUUUCAAAUCAAGGUGCAGUUUAUAGUUAAGAAGAAAUGGGUUACAAUAAAUUUAUUUAAAUGGAUUUAUAUAUGAAAUAUAUAAUGAAGGUGGAUUUGAAAGUAAUAUAAUUUAUUUUAGUUAUAUGAUUUUAGCUCUAAAAUGUGUACAUAUUGCCCGUCGCUCUUAUUUUAAGAUAAGAUAAGUCGUAACAUAGUAGGUGUACCGGAAGGUGUAUCUAGAAUGUC